UAGUCCACGCCGUAAACGAUGGAUACUAGCUGUCGGGACUUCGGUCUCGGCGGCCAAGCGAAAGUGAUAAGUAUCCCACCUGGGGAGUACGUUCGCAAGAAUGAAACUCAAAGGAAUUGACGGGGGCCCGCACAAGCGGUGGAGCAUGUGGUUUAAUUCGAUGAUACGCGAGGAACCUUACCAGGGCUUAAAUGUACAUUGCAUAGCGUAGAGAUAUGCUUUUCUUCGGACUAUGUACAAGGUGCUGCAUGGUUGUCGUCAGCUCGUGCCGUGAGGUGUCAGGUUAAGUCCUAUAACGAGCGCAACCCCUACCGUUAGUUGCCAGCAUGUAAUGAUGGGGACUCUAACGGGACUGCCGGUGCAAACCGUGAGGAAGGUGGGGAUGACGUCAAAUCAUCACGGCCCUUACGUCCUGGGCUACACACGUGCUACAAUGGUAGGGACAGAGAGCAGCCACUUCGCGAGAAGGAGCGAAUCUAUAAACCCUAUCACAGUUCGGAUCGG
rnacentral:rRNA from 1 species